UUUACCAAUGCCGAAGACAGUAGGUGCCGCAAGGCGUAAACAUAGUGCCUACCGAGGAAUUAGUUAAACAUAAGAUUUUACUACCUCUCUGUCUUUGGAUAGAGAGGUUUUUUACUUAU
rnacentral:sRNA from 1 species